UACGUAGGGUCCAAGCGUUGUCCGGAUUUAUUGGGCGUAAAGAGCUCGUAGGCGGCUCGGUAAGUCGGAUGUGAAAACUCGGGGCUCAACCCCGAGACGCCAUCCGAUACUGCUGUGGCUUGAGUCUGGUAGGGGAGAACGGAAUUCCUGGUGUAGCGGUGAAAUGCGCAGAUAUCAGGAGGAACACCGGUAGCGAAGGCGGGUCUCUGGGCCGAUAUUGACGCUGAGGAGCGAAAGCGUGGGGAGCGAACAGG
rnacentral:rRNA from 1 species